CCUACGGGGUGCAGCAGUGAGGAAUAUUGGUCAAUGGACGAGAGUCUGAACCAGCCAAGUAGCGUGAAGGAUGACUGCCCUAUGGGUUGUAAACUUCUUUUAUAUGGGAAUAAAAUGUUCCACGUGUGGGAUUUUGUAUGUACCAUAUGAAUAAGGAUCGGCUAACUCCGUGCCAGCAGCCGCGGUAAUACGGAGGAUCCGAGCGUUAUCCGGAUUUAUUGGGUUUAAAGGGAGCGUAGGUGGAUUGUUAAGUCAGUUGUGAAAGUUUGCGGCUCAACCGUAAAAUUGCAGUUGAAACUGGCAGUCUUGAGUACAGUAGAGGUGGGCGGAAUUCGUGGUGUAGCGGUGAAAUGCUUAGAUAUCAAGAAGAACUCCGAUUGCGAAGGCAGUUCACUGGACUGCAACUGACACUGAGGCUCGAAAGUGUGGGUAUCAAACAGGAUUAGAUACCCCUGUAGUC
rnacentral:rRNA from 1 species